GUGUCCUCCUGCACACUGGGACAAUGGUGCCCCCAAUUCGUCUGGGAACCUUGAAGAAAGAGUCUGGCCAUGCAGACACAGCCAUUAAAUAUGCCCUUAGUGUUGGCCACCACCACAAUGAUUGUCCUGCUAUCUAAUGAGCCUGGAGAGGCCUUGAAGGAGAAUGUGGGGCCAGGAAGGGAGAUCCCCCAUGAAGAGGUGUUUAUAACACCCAAGCUGUGGAACACCAAACACCACCCUGAAGAUGUGGAAAAUGUGGAGGCUGCCCUUCAGAGGACACUGAGUGAUCUCCAGCUAGAGUACCUGGAUCUGUUAUUUAUAUCUU
rnacentral:lncRNA from 1 species